rnacentral:rRNA from 1 species
GACGAACGCUGGCGGCGUGCCUAAUACAUGCAAGUAGAACGCUGAAGCGAGGAGCUUGCUCUUCUUGGAUGAGUUGCGAACGGGUGAGUAACGCGUAGGUAACCUGCCUUGUAGCGGGGGAUAACUAUUGGAAACGAUAGCUAAUACCGCAUAACAAUGGAUGACACAUGUCAUUUAUUUGAAAGGGGCAAUUGUUCCACUACAAGAUGGACCUGCGUUGUAUUAGCUAGUAGGUGAGGUAAUGGCUCACCUAGGCGACGAUACAUAGCCGACCUGAGAGGGUGAUCGGCCACACUGGGACUGAGACACGGCCCAGACUCCUACGGGAGGCAGCAGUAGGGAAUCUUCGGCAAUGGGGGCAACCCUGACCGAGCAACGCCGCGUGAGUGAAGAAGGUUGUCGGAUCGUAAAGCUCUGUUGUAAGUCAAGAACGGGUGUGAGAGUGGAAAGUUCACACUGUGACGGUAGCUUACCAGAAAGGGACGGCUAACUACGUG